rnacentral:tRNA from 1 species
GGCCCCGUCGUCUAGCGGCUAGGACAUCAGAUUCUCAUUCUGAAGAUCACCGGUUCAAAUCCGGUCGGGGUCA